CUUCACCGACCCCAGCCACAACGGCUCAUCCCGCCCCUGACCGUAGGUCGCCAGGAGUGCCUGAGCCUC
rnacentral:antisense_RNA from 1 species